rnacentral:rRNA from 1 species
AUGGCGGCCUCGGGUCCAUCCCGGGGCCACGCCCGUCUGAGGGUCGGCGAGAGUCAAAGCCUUCGCUUCGCUUCUGGCAGCUGGUCCGGUUCUACCACGUCGUUUUUCACUCCGUGCUCGUGCGAGGGAGAAGCUGCGUCGUGGAUGAUGAAGACCGUCGAAGCGCACUGGGCUUUCGAGGACGAGGAGGAUCGAGUUUUCUCCUUCCACCUUCCCUCGUAGCCUCAAGUACACGAAUGCGCCGUCCCCGUCAUCUGAGCAUCGUUCUCUCGAAGCGCUCAUCUUCGUUCGCUCGCCGUCCGUCUGGCAGGACUCGGCUCGCUGUGAAUAAAACGAGCCUGCCGACCGUCCGAAGUGGCAUGCGGUUUCGAAGUGUGAGAGGGCGAUUGCCGCGGCGGCGCCAAUUUUUUUUGUCCGUUCUAAAUCCGACCUCAGAUCGGACGAGAUUACCCGCUGAAUUUAAGCAUAUAACUAAGCGGAGGAAAAGAAACUAACAAGGAUUU